UAUAAGGAGUUUGAAUGCUUUUCUUUUAAAUGAAGUGUCAUUCAACUUAUACAUAUUGCAGUGUUCAUUAGUACUGCAACUAUUACCUUUGCCAAAUAUGACCCUUUGGUAUUAUAUGAGGAAUAAAAUUAGAAUUUUAGAACAUUUCACAAUUUUCACAAUUUUAGCUCCAUUAGGUAAACCACAGUGAGCUUUUUGUUCAUGGUCUCAAAAAUGCAAUUUUAUUGGUGAAAACGCUACAUGCCAGGUGUAAGGUCUACCUGCACAAGUGCUGCCAGGAAUAUUAAUGAAUUUAUUGCUGCCGGACGCUCUCUUCUGUGCUCAAUCCCCUGCCCUCUACUGUGCUCAAUGUACUACCCUCUACUUUGGUACUGCAAGUGACAGUAAUUUAGGUUUUAAUAAUGUAAGGUCUGAGCAUUUAAUGAGAGAGUUGAUUUUCUCUCUCCUUUUACGAUUUCCAAUAAACAUUUAUUAUUUUUUUUUUUUUAAUGUCGUGAUCUUUGGAUUCCCCUGAAAAACAGGACUUCCCCAGUGAGUGGCAUCUCUUCUUUCUUCACUCUAGGGGCUGUGGAAUGGAGAGUAAGGUAGAUGGAGACUGGUCUGUUCUUCCCUUAUAUAAUUCUAUAUAAAACCACCCACGUAGAAUUACUGUGUACCCACCUCUCACAGUUUUUAAUGAUGCACAGUUUUUUAUCUGUAUCUACCACUAGAGAGGCAUACCUUCCCAGCCUCCCUUAGCUGUGUGUUUUCUGUUAUAGAUUGUGGUGAGACCUCGACUGCAGUCCUUUGAUUAGGUUCUUCUCUACUUGAUUCCUGUCUUUACAGCUAAUAGAAAUUGUCUCUAAACCUACAAACCAGACGUUGGCCUUUAAACAAACCUUCCAAACGUUUCAAAACCGUUACAAAAACGUUCUAAAUGAUGUAACAGUUGACUUUCCAUAGACUUUAAUGUUGACUUCUGUAGAUAAAUAAUUUGGAAUGUUUUUUUUAACAUUAUUGGAUUAUUUCAAAACUUAUUAAAUUGAGGUUGUAGUUAGUAGUUUUGAGCUUUAACCUUCAUUUUGAUGUUUCGGAAUAUGCAGAUUUUGGGCAUCUUAUUGCAUUUUCUGAACAAUCCCUUUUUCUUUUUUUCUGCUUUUAUUUAUUUUUUAUUACAUUGAUACUCUUUACCUUCUAUGACUAUUUGAUAUCCCUUUGGACAGGCCAACAUUGACUAGUACCAAAUCCAAGAGUCUAUAACUCACACACAGCAUCCACAUGCCAGAACUUCAUUGAUGAGAGCAAGUAGGACAAAAAGAAGAUAGACCGUCGACCCAGCAACUGUAUCAGUGGCUCUUUCAGCUACAUCAGGAAUGAAACAGCAUUUCCAGGAGAAGGCGCUGCGUGCACUGAAACAUGCGUAUAACCUUAAGUUAUUUAUUUAAGUGUCAUGUGAGGGUAAAGGGGUUGAUUGUGAGCGGGCUCUUAGUGGUCGAGCAUAUUUGGCUAACAAACAAUAUAUUUCAAGAAGCCAAACUUUCUGUGCUCAGCAUGGUAGAUUAGUCAGAGUGUGUUAGUAGCCUAGGAUCAGCUCUAGAAGCAGGUGUUAGCUCAUCUUUAUAUUUGUGUCAGUGGACCAGGUAUCUUAGCACUGCCCUUUCCUUUCUGAAACUAUAAGAUUCCAAUACUCUACUAUCUAUUUGAUGCUCUGACUGAUCAGCUCCUUGAUUUUUUUUCCCCACAGUUCUAAACAAAUUAUGGCCCUUAAUUUAAUAUUGUUGGAUACGUUUUUUACAAUUAUUUAAUAUGUUUGGAUAAACUUUUCAAAUGAUUUAAUACAUUUAGGGGUGUACUCACUUUUGUUGCCAAUGGUUUAUACAUUAAUGGCUGUGUGUUGAGUUAUUUUGAGGAAACAGCAAAGUUACACUGUUAUAGAGGCUGUACACUUACUACUUUACAUUGUAGCAGAGUGUCAUUUCUUCGGUGUUGUUACAUGAAAAGAUAUAAUAAAAUAUUUACAAAAAUGUGAGGGGUGUACUCACUUUUGUGAGAUACUGUAUUUAUUACAGCAUUCCCCACAGGGGGUCAUCAACAUUCACAAUGGGUGCCUUACCAUACAACAGGGCUCUGUACAGUGGUUAUCCCCAAACAUAGGAUUCCCCAUACACAAUAGUGACAUGCUAUACAUCCCCGGAGAGCGCUAGCUCCCUAGAGUUAAAUGUCCAAGAACCAGGAUUAGAAGAAUCCAGCAUGAGUAAUUAGCUAGAGUUCUGGCGAGGCUGUGGCUAACCUCCGAUCUGAUGCAGAGUUCCAGGCUGCCGAGGGUUCGAUAAUGGUCAAAAGCAACAAAGCUCUGUGAAAGCGGGUUCAUCCAUCUCUAAAUGUUUUUAGAAAGCCCUUCACCUCCUCUCCAAUUAGUGCUCCCCUGGUAACCUUUUGGCUUGAGUGGUGCAAUAUGCAAAUUAUACUGUCAGUCACAUUUGUAUAUAUCCGAGUUAGAGUUCCAGAAAGACUGCAAGCAUUCCUGCUGAUGGGGUUCCGACUGUGCCGGUAACGAUGAGUGGUCCCAGGAGUUGCUUUCACAGCACUCUGCUUCAGGGGAGGCAUUGGGGCAGGAGGGGAAGGGAAGAAGGGUGAUUGUAAGCUCUUUUGGGGAGUUUUCUUUCAGUCCUGCACCAAUUGUUAGAGCAAUCGGAGCAGGCUCAGUCACAGCGCCAACAUUUUGAUAAAGGGAGAUAUCUGAAAACGAGUAAUUCACAUACAAAAUGUUGACAAUGACAAAAGUUGAAGAAGCCCCAGCUCAAAUAGGCUUUCAAUCUAUGAGGAAUGGGUAAAGAGACACAAGAAUAAGAACAGCAAUUCAGUGGAGAGGUGGGACUGAUCAAUAAGAUGCCAAUGACAAAAUCAGCUUGUAAAAGUAGUGUACAGAUGAACAGAAGAAUAGAAGGAGAGAAAGUAAAAUGACUUUGAAAGUCAUUUUACUUUCUCUCCUUCUAUACUGUACCCCCCCAUAGCCUACCUACCAAUGAGCUACCAACGUACUUUACGAUUGAGUUGGCAGUAACCAACUUACCAUAUACCAACCUACAUGUUCAUAGAGUCCCAUGUGCUGAUUAGCUGUGAACUGUGUGACAUGUGUGUACACUGAUUCCUCAGUACUCCUUUCGGUACUCUGUAACAACUCCACAAUGAUUCUUAUCAUUAUUGCUCAUUAUUGUUUAUGAGCUUGUACCAAGAAACUUAUUUGUUGAAUAAAAAAAAAAAAAAGUUAAUACUAAGUCCACUCAAACAUAUAUUUGUGUUUAAGCUGCUCACACUCCACACACUAUGCAAAGCAAAUAGGGGAAUCAGGAUGUGAGACUGCUGCUAUAUGAAGCCCAUUUGACGGGCAAUGUUUUUUUAUUUUGUAGAUGAAAUUCUUUUUUUUUUUUUUUUAUAGUGGAAUGUGUAUAGGUAUACAAAUUUGAACAUUGUAUAUUUAAAGUAACACAGCACGAGAUUUAUGGCACUUUAUUAAUUAUGCACUUUUAUACAUUUAAAGUGAUACAUCACUGGAUAUAAUAGCACUUUAUUGAGUUUCACUUUAGAGAGUUUUACAGCUCUACACAUUUUAGUGGUUGAUGUUAUUUGCUUUUGCAAGACCUCCCCUUUUUCCCCAGCCCAGACUUCCUGGGGCUGUCCAAUCACAGACUUACCAGUGCACUUCAAGGAGAAGUCUUUGCAAGGCAGGUGCUCUGAGCAAUUGACUGUCUUUUGAUUUUAACUCCAUUGAGCUAUAUAUCCAGGAAGUAACAAGACAUGUUAGCUGCUUUAAAGCCAGGGGCUUGUAACAUGGCUAAUAUACAAAAGUGCAAAUUUCCAUUAAAAUCUACACUUUUAGUAAAAUGAAAAAAAGGACAUAUCCUUCACAUAUAAAGAAUUUCAGCAAGCUAAAGUGCUUUUGGAUCUGGAGUAUCCAUUUAAACUCCAGUUCUUAACCUCUGACUCAUUGAAAGGUCAUGUCCUGUUUAUCAUCAUAAACUUACAAAUGCACCUAUUUAGGAAACUUUAAAGAUUCCUGACUCCAACCCCUGUACCCAGAAUGUUAUCAGAGCAACCAGUUAUUUUAGUUGAGUACUUAUAUUGGCAAACAUUGCAAGGUCAAAGAGCUUUAAAGCCAUAGACAUCUAUAAGGUUUCUCAUAUGGCUUCUCAGUUUGCCCUCGUGGCAUCCUAAACAUCCUUAAACAUCCAGAAAAUUCACCAAAAAUAACAGCUGUUCUGGAUGUAAUUAACAUCACAUCCUCUACAUGUUAUUCUUCCUCUUGUUAAAAUUCAUCUCCUCUUAGUUGUAAAAACCAUUCAGCGAGGUCUUAGUUAACCCCUUUCCCUCUCCGAUUCAUUGUUUUAUCCACUGUGUAAAAUUGUAAAAAGUUGGGGAAUAUGUCGUCGCUAUAUAAUGAUGAAUGGCGAGGACGAAUGAUAAGGACUGAUUACGAACGAUGCUGAUGACGAAUGAAUGAUGACAAUGUGUGAAUGCAAAAACAAUAAUAGCUGUACCCUUCUGGAUAUCAUGAGAGACUACAGACUACUAAGCAAACAUAAUAACAAUAUUUUCUCAGAUGGCAAUGCAUUAUUUAUAAAUACAUAUCUGAGAGGCGAGAGAACCUAAAUGAACAAGAAAAGAAAAUCUGAAAUAAAGACGAGAUCACUAGUCGGUGUUUGCGGCAGGUUCUUAAUUGAGAAAUAACAAAACAUGUAUGUUAUAUAUGUAUAUAUUGGUAAUUUCACCCUUAAACCACUUCUACUGAUGAUGUCUACCUAACAUGACUUUUGAAUGGUGGUUUACUCCAACAGGUUAAAUGAACUGUGAGUGCUAUGGAAAUUAUACAAAUGUAAUUUGCAAUUAAAUUGCUAUGCUACAGAAAUUAGAGGACUUGUACUGCACAAAUCCUUAUUCAAAAUAUUUUAGGAUUUAAUGUUUUGUCUGCUGUACUUCAGUCCAAUAGAAAUUUUUUUGACAUGCAAGUGCUCCACGCUUCUGGAUAUAAAACAUAAGAAAAUGGAUCAGGUACAAAUAUCUGGCAUAAAUAUGAAAUCAAAUGUAACGCUUUUAAAAAAAAAAAAAAAAAAGAACCAAUAUACCAAUAUAGGAUAGAUACAGGGUGCCAUUUAUCAAUUAUCAGUGUAUUGUGAUAAGUCAAUGCUAUAUAUUAAUGUCAUAAAGCAAUGAGUAGACAGAUAUGCAUUCAACAUUGUAAUUUAUUCUUUGUAUUGUGAUGCAAACAGAAGUUUUGGUCGUGUCGUCGUCUCCUCUUCCCCCCACCCCCCACUCCCCGUCCCUUUUUUCCUUCUGUACCCCAUUUCACUUUUCUGAAAAUAAAACUUUAAAUAAAUAAAAAAAAUAACCAAUGUGUUCUGUUUCUUCUCUUCCGAUGCAUUGUGUGCCCUGGCUGUGCCUGAACUGGAAGGGAUUGUGAUGUCCAGUGGUGGCUAGUAAAGUGUUUCAAUGGUUGGGCACUAGGUUGUGUGAAAAGACAGCAGGUUGUAAUGGUUAUGGUUCUUGGAGAGUUCUUUAACCCAUUAAAUAAACUUCCCUAACCGUAAUAGCGAUAUAGGCUUUGAUUAAAUUUUUUUGGAAUAAGCUUUUCAAAUAUUCUUUUCCAUUUGUGAAUACAGCAAUGUAGAUGAAAUAUCAAUUUAGGCAAAGAACUGAUUACAUUCACAUUUCUUCUCCC